rnacentral:lncRNA from 13 species
GCAGUGCUCAUUUCACCCCGCCUCUACCGCACCCUCGGCAAGGCGCCUUCACAGGUGCCCUUCCUGCUCCCUGAAACCCUUUGCCAGCCUCCUCCCCACCCGGCCACCCUUCUUAGCAACCAACAACGUGGCGCCUCAGUUCCUCCCUGCCCUGUAAAACCCCUGGCCUCCCGCCAGACUCAAGAACUGCCCUCAGAUCUCUUCCGUGCUCUCGCCCAGCAGGAGACACAGCCCAGGUCCCGCCUCCGUCACGCGGCAGCGCUCACGCGGGCCGGCCACGGCGAGGCUCCCUCACGCUGCCCGCCCCUGGAGUCUUCAGCGGCUCCGGGCUCAGACCUCCCUGCCUCCCAGUGUCCCCGCGCCGCCCCCGCGCCAGCCGUGCUAACCCUGCUUCCGCUCCUGGGCUGCGCCCACGCCCGGUCCUCCCUCCCGUGGUUGGUGCGGUUCUCCCAGGCCGGGCCGGGACGCUGGACUGACGCCCCGGAAGCGGCCGCCGCCGCAGCCAAUUGCCGGCUCUUGCUUUGGCUUUUACCGACCAGAGAGCUGCGUCUCCGACCCGGCUGUUUAACAGGGCGACUUUUGUUUAAAAAAAAAAAAAACUGGGGGUGCUGCAGAGGACCCCCCAACCCGGUGGCCCUCACAGUAGCUUCGGGCCUCCACCGGGAGGGCGCGCGAAGCCCGGCGGCCCCGAGAGGCCGGGGGUGGGAGGCGCGAGGGCGACCCCGCCGCGUGGAGCCGCCCGGGGCGUACGCGAGCCCCAGCAGCCCGGAGUGCAGUGCCGGCUGCGCUGUGGGAGCCGCGGCCACUCCAGCGCCUGGGCCGCACCCGCCCAAGACCCGUGAGGCGGCGGGAAACGCCGGGCCUGCGCCCUGCCCAGCCGCUGGGUGGCCGGGCCGGGACUUUCCCGUGCGGCCCUCGGCAGGACUGCGGCCGCGGAACAAAGGGGUGCGGAGGUGGGCGGUGGGUGUAUCGCCGGCGGGGCGGAGCCUCGGCGUCCGGAGCUGGGGUCUCCUCUCCCCCGGGCCCGGCGGGGUUUGGCGGCCGCGCCAGUCCGCGGGCUCCCCAGAAAGCAAGCCGCGCGGUAACAACGGCAGCCACCAUUUCGACUCCCCGCGGGUCCCUGCUCAGUGCUGGGGACGGGAGGGCGCUACUCGCUCGAUUAAGGCCAGGUGUCACUAUUGGUGUCACAGAAUUUCGUUGUUUCCAAGAUAUGGUUCCUUUUUGUAG